AUAUCAAGAGGACAGAACAGGCAUCUGUCACCCUUUGUGGAGAUGUAGGGUACGCCGACCUACCUUGAUAU
rnacentral:ncRNA from 12 species